GCCGGGAAGGUGGGCGUGUCCAGCUGCGGCAGUGCAUCCUGGGAGAGCGGGCAUGCCCAGGUGCGGCAGUGCAUCCUGGGAAGGCGGGUGUGUCCAGAUGCGGCAGAGCAGCCAGGAAGGUGGACGUACCCAGGUGUGGCAGUGCAUCCUGGGAAGGCGGGCGUGUCCAGAUGCGGCAGAGCAGCCCAGGAAGGCGGGCGUGCCUGGGUGCGGCAGUGCAUCCUGGGAAGGCGGGCGUGCCCAGGUGCGGCAGUGCAUCCUGGGAAGGCGGGCGUGCCCAGGCGCGGCAGUGCAUCCUGGGAAGGCGGGCGUGCCCAGGUGCGGCAGUGCAUCCUGGGAAGGCGGGCGUGCCCAGGUGCGGCAGUGCAUCCUGGGAAGGUGGGUGUGCCCAGGCGCGGCAGUGCAACCUGGGAAGGCGGGCGUGCCCGGGUGCGGCAGUGCAUCCUGGGAAGGCGGGCGUGUCAGACCCGCAGUGGAAGAGGGAGGAUCGCACCGCAGCGGUACUGGAUUCUGGCGUGGUUCCUCCACGUCCCACGUCGGCAGCACCCGGGGGUCGUGUUCUUCCAGCCGCUGUUGCUGUGGGGCCUGCGGCGCUGGGGCCCCGGCCGGGUGGACGCCUGCCCCUUGCGCCAGCCACUGGGCUCCCAAAUGACCGCAAGGCUGACCCUAAGUCGGGGCCGCAGGAGCCGCUGCAACGCUGUGCGGUGCUUCCCCCCAUGGCGGGUCCCGCGCGAGGGGAGCGCAAGGGAAACCGGGCGCUCAAGGCGGGACAGGGCGCAAGGACGGCCAGGGGCUCAGGGCAGGCUCAAGCACAGGGAGACAGGGUGCAGGGCAAGCUCAGGCACAAGGGGACAGGGCGCCUGGCUUACUCAGGGGGACAGAGCACAAGGCUGGCCGGGGCUCGGGCAGGCACGGGGCGGGGAGACAGGGCGCCGGGCAGGCUCGGGCACUGGGGGACAGGGCGCCGGGCGGGCUCAGGGGGACAGGGCACAGGGCUGGCCGGGGCUCAGGGCAGGCACGGGGGACAGGGCGCCAGGCAGGCUCAGGCACAGGGGGACAGGUCACAGGGCUGGCCGCGCGGGCUCAGGGGGACAGGGCACAGGGCUGGCCGGGGCUCAGGGCAGGCACGGGGGACAGGGUGCAGGGCAGGCUCAGGCACAGGGGGACAGGGCGCCGGGCGGGCUCAGGGGGACAGGGCGCAGAGCUGGCCGGGGCUCAGGGCAGGCCGAGCACUGAGGGAACAGGGCACAGGAUAGGGCCGCGUGCUGGUGGGGGCUCUUGGCCAGUCUCCAGCCCCUCACCCCACUCGGAUGCUGGCAGGACAGAGCAGAUCUCUAGCUAACACAUCUCCCGUUCGUGCUCCCCCUUUUGUUUACGGUUUGUGAGAGGAGGUUUCCGAUGGGAUGGAGGGCAUGAGACGUGCGGCUGCCCAGCUGCUGACUCACGAGCUGGGACCACCCUCCCCCAAGCCCAGGGCUGUCCUCUGAGGGGCGGCCAGCUGCCCAUGGCAGAGCAGCGCCCAGCUCGUGUGACCGUGCCCUGGGAGGAACACGGGUCAGGGCAGCAUGGCCGCCCGGGCUCCAGGCUGUGGAGGUGGCAGGCGCUGCUCUGUGCUCCUUCUCG
ensembl:lncRNA